AAGCAUAUCAAUAAGCGGAGGAAAAGAAAAUAACAAUGAUUUCCCUAGUAACGGCGAGUGAAGAGGAAAGAGCUCAAAGUUGGAACCUGUUUGGCUUAGCUAAACCGGAUUGUAAACUGUAGAAGUGUUUUCCAGACACGCCUGGUAAAAAAGUCCUUUGGAACAGGGCAUCAUAGAGGGUGAGAAUCCCGUCAUUGGCCAGAGCUGUUGUCUUUUGUGAUACAUUUUCAAAGAGUCAGGUUGUUUGGGAAUGCAGCCUAAAUUGGGUGGUAAAUCUCACCUAAAGCUAAAUAUUUGCGAGAGACCGAUAGCGAACAAGUACCGUGAGGGAAAGAUGAAAAGAACUUUGAAAAGAGAGUUAAACAGUAUGUGAAAUUGUUAAAAGGGAACCGUUUGGAGCCAGACUGGCUUAACUGUAAUCAAUCUAGGCUUUGGCCUGGAUGCACUUGCGGUUUAUGCCGGCCAACGACAGUUUUGUUUGAGGGAAAAAAUUACAUUGAAUGUGGCCCUUCGGGGUGUUAUAGCUUUGUAAAAAAUACCUUGGACUGGACUGAGGAACGCAGUGAAUGCCUUUAGGCAAGAUUGCUGGGUGCUUUCGCUAAUAAAUGCUAGAAUUUCUGCUUCGGGUGGUGCUAGUGUUUAAAGGAGGAACUCGCUUAGUAUAUUUUUUAUUCGCUUAGGUUGUUGGCUUAAUGACUCUAAAUGACC
rnacentral:rRNA from 1 species